CUGCUGCCUCCCGUAGGAGUCUGGGCCGUGUCUCAGUCCCAAUGUGGCCGUUCAACCUCUCAGUCCGGCCACUGAUCGUCGCUUUGGUGGGCCGUUACCCCGCCAACUGGCUAAUCAGACGCGAGCUCAUCUUUGGACGAUAAAUCUUUGGCAGCAAAAUCAUGCGGUCCUGCUGCAUUAUGCGGUAUUAGCAGUCGUUUCCGGCUGUUAUCCCCCAUCCAAAGGCAGAUUGCUCACGUCG
rnacentral:rRNA from 1 species